UGGAUCUUUGGACUGAUACUAUUAUAUUUGCAAUGAAUUUAAUUGGAAAAACGCUGAGUACCUGCACCCAGGCACUGCCCGGGCUCAAACUUGCAGAUUAAUUAUGGAUGCAAGACAUAUAUAGCAUCAUGUAUGCCAAACCCUGGACAAGUCUAAGGAGGCUCCUCCUAUACUAUCAUAUUAAUUCCAAAUAGAAUAUUAAUUCAUUGGAUAAGUCAGAGAAGGCUCAUAUAGAAGAUAUAUGAGGGAGAAGCUAUUGAAAGACAAAAACCUCUAUAUAGAAAUAUAUCACCAGCAGCACAAGUGGACUACAGCCUCAGAAAUGUCCUCACCGUCCAGCUUCAUGACAAGCAGACUGGCUGUUGGCAGAAUGCACCCAGCUCUGCUUCUGCUCAUAAGGAACUGAGGCCCCACGUGGUGAAGUGACAGAGCUGAUUCUAGAGCCCAGGUGCUCUCAGUGUCAGCCUCUGCCAUUCUGACCACGCUGCACUCAGAUCUUGCUCUACUCUCUGGAGUUUGUCCACAUCACAGUUUUCUGGUAUGCAGCUCAUCAGACAAUUUUUACCUGAAUCCACACAUGACAAGAGACCAUUUGGGUAAUGUACAUUAUGGGAGGAGAACAGAGUCUCAGUGAAGAUCAUUAGUUUCCCUAGCAAUGUAGAUGCCAGGAGUGGCUGGCUCUGGUCCUAGCCUAGACUCAGAAAUCCUAAGCCACCAGACCAAUUCUAGAUUAACAAGUAAGGUGACUUCUGAGUAACUAAUAUUUUCAUUGAGAUUUGAUGAUAAGCAGCAAAGCUCAAACAAAAGUCCAGAGUUAGUGUUGGCAGGUUGAGGUGGCUCAUGCCUGUAAUCCCAGCACUUUGGGAGGCUGAGGUGGGAGGAUCACUUGAGCC